AGCAAACGCUGGCGGCAGGCUUAACACACGCAAGUCGAACGCCCCGCAAGGGGAGUGGCAGACGGGUGAGUAACACGUGGGAACGUACCCUUUGGUUCGGAAUAACUUGGGGAAACUCAAGCUAAUACCGGAUAAGCCCUUAUGGGGAAAGGUUUACUGCCGAAGGAUCGGCCCGCGUCUGAUUAGCUAGUUGGUGAGGUAAUGGCUCACCAAGGCGACGAUCAGUAGCUGGUCCGAGAGGAUGAUCAGCCACACUGGGACUGAGACACGGCCCAGACUCCUACGGGAGGCAGCAGUGGGGAAUAUUGGACAAUGGGGGCAACCCUGAUCCAGCCAUGCCGCGUGAGUGAUGAAGGCCUUAGGGUUGUAAAGCUCUUUUACCCGGGACGAUAAUGACUGUACCGGGAGAAUAAGCCCCGGCUAACUUCGUGCCAGCCGCCGCCGUAA
rnacentral:rRNA from 1 species